GGGACCAAGAAGAGAGCCUUGGGGAACACCACCCGAGACCGGCAAUGAUGUGGAUGUGGCACCAGAAAAAGAGACACUAAAUGAGCGUUUGGAAAGAUUGGAUGAAAAUCAGGAAAUGUACAAUGUCACAGGUUGUGUAGGGAUUGAAGAAGAGGAGAAUGGUCAUUAGUAUCAAAGGCAGCUGAGAGGCCAAUAGGUAUUAAGAGAGAGUAAUGAUCUUUAGAUUUAGCAGUGAUUAAGUUUUUAGUCACUGUGGUAGGGCAGCUUCAGUAGAAUGGAGGUAGCCAAAGCCAGGUUGAAGAGGGUCAAGGAGAGAGUUCACACUUAGAAAAUGAGUUAGACAGAUAUACACAAGCUGCACAAGAAGCUUAGAAUUGAAGGGGAGUAGUGCUAGAGGAAACUAGUUAGAAGGAGUGGUGGAUUUAGGGAUGGGAGUAGACAUGGAAAAAGAAAUUGGACAAGGUGAGAGGAAAGGGGAUCAAAAGGACAUGUGG